GCAAAACCGCAUGAAAUACAAAUAUGGAGCAAUAUUGAAUGUUAAGCCCGUCGGUCAAUUAAUUUUCCAAAGCUACUACAGCUAUUGAGGGUAGGAUCGAAGAGAAUGGAGGAAUCUUCAACAUCUGGUCUUAAUUCCUCUAACAUCGGAUUUCAGUUGUUGCAAAAGCAUGGUUGGAAGGAAGGAACUGGUCUUGGUGCUUCUCAACAGGGGAGGUUGGAACCUGUGAAAACAUAUGUUAAAAGGAACAAGAGAGGUUUAGGGGCUGAAAAGUGGAAAAAGAAGACCUUGCAAUCAUCCACAACAACCACCUCUGGAGAGAAGGAGAAAACUGAGAAAAUGUCAAAAAAGGAGAAAGCACUCUCUAAAAGGGUGAGGAAAAUGCUGGAUGAAGAAAAGCGUCGGCAAGAAAAUGAAGUUCGUCAAGCAUUCUUCAGAGAGUUUUGGCCAGAGAAUGUCUGACAUUGGGUCACUAGGAAAACUAAUUGCGUGCUCUUAUUUGUUUACGAUACCGUGUACAGAUCUUUCUCCCACUAUUUUUUGCUGUCAUGUAUAGCCAACUUUAUUCUGUUGUAUGGAUACUCAACCUGAAGUUUUGGAAGCCAAAUCGGAGAACCAAAACCAUACGUACAUUAUGUUCAAGAAUUGAAAGUGUUAUAAAACAUAACUUAUCAAACCAGCUGCGUUCUUUAAACAAGACAAAGUGGCCCAUGAUCAUCGGCACUUGCGCAGGCUUGUUAGUCUCGAUGUUGAAAGGUCAUGUUAAUCUGGAAGUUAGUUUGGGGUUUGAGAGUCCACUGAAGCUUCACCGUUUUCUAUGGAGGGCCUGCAAAGGUAGCUUGGCUGUGAUGGAGCGAUUACAUAAUCGCCACAUUGUCCAAAACAAGGUAUGUGGUAAUGCUGUAGAAACAAUUUUGCAUUCACUUUUUGAGUGUACAUAAGCAAAGCAGCAAAGGAGAUUUGGUCAUAUGAUCAGUUGGGCUUGUUGAAUAAUGCUCCUACCUCUUCUUUUGGAGAUAGACUGAUGUGGUUAGCUAGCCAAGUAUCUAAAGAACUUCGAAGUUCUGCAGCACUUAUGUGGGCAGCAUGGUCUUGUAGAAAUAAGGUGAUUUUUGAGCAUUGUGUUCCUGGUGCUAUACAAAUGGCUGCGGGUUAUGUCUGACUUGUGCUGGAUUAUUGUGGAUAUGCUGCCAAAGUCUUCAAGGGGCAAGGAGGGGGUACAGUGAGCCUAGCAAGCUGGCAGCCCCCUGAUGUUGGCUUUCUAAAGGUUGACACUGAUGCACAUGUGUGUUAGAGGUUUUAUGUGGGGCUGGGUGCGACAGUAAGGGAUCAUAGGGGGAAAUUGGUUGCAUGGGCAGUGAGGAAGAAAGGAGUAAGAUGGGGUGCUGAUCUAGCUGAAGCAGCAGCUGCAGCUUUUGGUGUGGAGGUUGCUCAGAAUCUCGGUUAAAGCCAUGUUAUUCUCGAAUCUGAUGCUCAGAAUAUGGUGAAUGCAGUCUGAAAGAAAUCGUGUGGAGUCUCUCCUUUAUACCUCUUUUUUUUUUUUUUAAUGAUAUUAGUGUUUGUCUAUCUAAUUUUGUUGCUUUCUCUUGUAAUCACAUAUCUAAUUUUGUUGCUUUCUCUUGUAAUCACAUUAGAAGAGCCGGAAUACGUCAGCUCAUCUAAUUGAGAUGGGAUAUUAAUGUUGAUAAAGAGAUGAUUUGUAGUAACUAUUCCCUCAAAGCCUUAUUGCUUUGGCGGAAAUUGAUCAUAACAAAUAAAAUUCUCUGCUUUCUUUCAAAAAAAAAAAA